AUCUUUGCGCUUGGGGCAAUGACGCAGCUAGUGAGGUUCUAACCGAGGCGCGUCAAUUGCUGGUUGAAAACUAUUUCCAAACCCCCUCUUCGGCCUGGGCUUUGCCCCACGGCCGUUGAGAAUUUCUGGAAGGGCUCCCCUCCCUCGGACGGGGUAAAGCC
rfam:Punica granatum cultivar Dabenzi scaffold21, whole genome shotgun sequence.